GUGUCAGCCGCCGCGGUAAUACGUAGGUGGCAAGCGUUGUCCGGAAUUAUUGGGCGUAAAGGGCGUGUAGGUGGAUUUUUAAGUCGUGUGUCUAAGUGCGAAGCUCAACUUCGUAUAGGCGCAGGAAACUGGGAAUCUUGAGUGCAGGAGAGGAAAGUGGAAUUCCCAGUGUAGCGGUGAAAUGCGUAGAUAUUGGGAGGAACACCAGUGGCGAAGGCGACUUUCUGGACUGUGUCUGACACUGAGGCGCGAAAGCUAGGGGAGCGAACGGGAUUAGAUACCCGAGUAGUCC
rnacentral:rRNA from 1 species